rnacentral:rRNA from 1 species
GGGAACCCACCUACUUUAAGGUAGGUAUUGCAACAUGAAUACAUAGUGUUGCAAGGCGAACGAGGGGAAGUGAAACAUCUCAGUACCCUUAGGAAAAGAAAUCAAUUGAGAUUCCCUCAGUAGCGGCGAGCGAACGGGGAUCAGCCCAUUAAGUUAUGUGUGUUUUAGUGGAACGCUCUGGGAAGUGCGAACGUAGAGGGUGAUAUUCCCGUACACGAAAGGGCACACAUAAUGAUGACGAGUAGGGCGAGGCACGUGAAACCUUGUCUGAAUAUGGGGGGACCAUCCUCCAAGGCUAAAUACUCCUGACUGACCGAUAGUGAACCAGUACCGUGAGGGAAAGGCGAAAAGAACCCCUGUGAGGGGAGUGAAAUAGAUCCUGAAACCGCAUGCAUACAAGCAGUGGGAGCACCUUCGUGGUGUGACUGCGUACCUUUUGUAUAAUGGGUCAGCGACUUAUAUUCAGUAGCGAGGUUAACCGUAUAGGGGAGCCGUAGAGAAAUCGAGUCUUAAUAGGGCGUUUAGUUGCUGGGUAUAGACCCGAAACCAGGCGAUCUAUCCAUGAGCAGGUUGAAGGUUGGGUAACACUAACUGGAGGACCGAACCCACUGUCGUUGAAAAGCCAGGGGAUGACUUGUGGAUAGGGGUGAAAGGCUAAUCAAGCCUGGUGAUAGCUGGUUCUCCCCGAAAGCUAUUUAGGUAGCGCCUCGGACGAAUACCAUAGGGGGUAGAGCACUGUUUCGGCUAGGGGGUCAUCCCGACUUACCAAACCGAUGCAAACUCCGAAUACCUAUGAGUACUAUCCGGGAGACAGACUGCGGGUGCUAACGUCCGUAGUCAAGAGGAAAACAAUCCAGACCGCCAGCUAAGGCCCCAAAAUCAUAGUUAAGUGGGAAACGAUGUGGGAAGGCAUAGACAGCUAGGAGGUUGGCUUAGAAGCAGCCACCCUUUAAAGAAAGCGUAAUAGCUCACUAGUCGAGUCGGCCUGCGCGGAAGAUGUAACGGGGCUAAAACUAUGUGCCGAAGCUGCGGAUGUAUACUUUGUAUACGUGGUAGGGGAGCGUUCUGUAAGCCGAUGAAGGUGUGUUGAGAAGCAUGCUGGAGGUAUCAGAAGUGCGAAUGCUGACGUGAGUAACGACAAAACGGGUGAAAAACCCGUUCGCCGAAAGACCAAGGGUUCCAGUCCAACGUUAAUCGGGGCUGGGUGAGUCGACCCCUAAGGCGAGGCCGAAAGGCGUAGUCGAUGGGAAAAUGGUUAAUAUUCCAUUACUUCUGUGUAAUGCGAUGAGAGGACGGAGAAGGCUAAAUCAGCCUGGCGUUGGUUGUCCAGGUGAAAGGAUGUAGGCAUGUAUCUUAGGCAAAUCCGGGGUACUCUAUGCUGAGAUCUGAUAGCAAGCUGUACUUGUACAGCGAAGUGGUUGAUGCCAUGCUUCCAGGAAAAGUCUCUAAGCUUCAGUUACACAGGAAUCGUACCCGAAACCGACACAGGUGGUCAGGUCGAGUAGACCAAGGCGCUUGAGAGAACUCUGCUGAAGGAACUAGGCAAAAUGGUACCGUAACUUCGGGAGAAGGUACGCUGUUGUUGGUGAUGGAACUCGCUUCCUGAGCUGACGACAGCCGCAGAAACCAGGCCGCUGCAACUGUUUAUUAAAAACAUAGCACUCUGCAAACACGAAAGUGGACGUAUAGGGUGUGAUGCCUGCCCGGUGCUGGAAGGUUAAUUGAUGGGGUUAGCGUAAGCGAAGCUCUUGAUCGAAGCCCCAGUAAACGGCGGCCGUAACUAUAACGGUCCUAAGGUAGCGAAAUUCCUUGUCGGGUAAGUUCCGACCUGCACGAAUGGCAUAAUGAUGGCGGCGCUGUCUCCAGCAGAGGCUCAGUGAAAUCGAAAUCGCUGUGAAGAUGCAGUGUACCCGCGGCUAGACGGAAAGACCCCGUGAACCUUUACUGCAGCUUGACACUGAACUUUGACCUUACUUGUGUAGGAUAGGUGGGAGGCUUUGAAGCUGGAACGCUAGUUCCAGUGGAGCCGUCCUUGAAAUACCACCCUGGUAAUGUUGAGGUUCUAACUCUGUCCCGUGAUCCGGGACGAGGACCGUGUCUGGUGGGUAGUUUGACUGGGGCGGUCUCCUCCUAAAGAGUAACGGAGGAGUACGAAGGUGCGCUCAGCGUGGUCGGAAAUCACGCGUAGAGUAUAAAGGCAAAAGCGCGCUUAACUGCGAGACCCACAAGUCGAGCAGGUACGAAAGUAGGUCUUAGUGAUCCGGUGGUUCUGUAUGGAAGGGCCAUCGCUCAACGGAUAAAAGGUACUCUGGGGAUAACAGGCUGAUACCGCCCAAGAGUUCAUAUCGACGGCGGUGUUUGGCACCUCGAUGUCGGCUCAUCUCAUCCUGGGGCUGAAGCAGGUCCCAAGGGUAUGGCUGUUCGCCAUUUAAAGAGGUACGCGAGCUGGGUUUAGAACGUCGUGAGACAGUUCGGUCCCUAUCUACCGUGGGCGCUGGAAAUUUGAGAGGAUCUGCUCCUAGUACGAGAGGACCAGAGUGGACGAACCUCUGGUGUACCGGUUGUGACGCCAGUCGCAUCGCCGGGUAGCUAUGUUCGGAAGGGAUAACCGCUGAAAGCAUCUAAGCGGGAAGCCUACCUCAAGAUAAGAUUUCCCUAGGACUUUAUGUCCUCUAAAGAGCCGUUCGAGACUAGGACGUUGAUAGGUUGGAUGUGGAAGCAUAGUGAUAUGUGAAGCUGACCAAUACUAAUUGCUCGUGAGGCUUGACUAUACAACACCCAAGCAGUUG